CUACGGGUCGCAGCAGUGGGGAAUAUUGGGCAAUGGGCGCAAGCCUGACCCAGCAACGCCGUGUGAGGGAUGAAGGUCUUCGGAUUGUAAACCUCUGUCAGAAGGGAAGAAGUGCAUAGGGUCCAAUAGGCCUUAUGUUUGACGGUACCUUCAGAGGAAGCACCGGCUAACUCCGUGCCAGCAGCCGCGGUAAUACGGAGGGUGCAAGCGUUAUUCGGAAUUACUGGGCGUAAAGCGUACGUAGGCGGCGAGGUAAGUCAGGUGUGAAAUCCCACGGCUCAACCGUGGAACUGCACUUGAAACUGCUUUGCUCGAGUACUGGAGGGGAUGGCGGAAUUCCUGGUGUAGGAGUGAAAUCCGUAGAUAUCAGGAGGAACACCGGUGGCGAAGGCGGCCAUCUGGACAGUAACUGACGCUGAGGUACGAAAGCGUGGGGAGCAAACAGGAUUAGAUACCCCGGUAGUC
rnacentral:rRNA from 1 species